UCAGAUUUAUGAAUGUGAACAGCAGGAUAUCGAUUUUAAGGAUGCUUUAGGGUCAAUGACAAUGAAAUCACGAGAGAUAAAGGCUAAAAUGUGAGACUGUCAAUCUGACUAACCUUGAAGUGAACAAAUGGAAAAAAUGUUUCUUUCAAUAGCAUGGGCUUUUAAGGAAGAGGAAACAGAGGCGCUUAUAUGAUAGAACAGUAAAAGCAGGAGUGAUAAGGAAAGAUACAUGUAGAUGUGUCUUCAUGUCGGAAACACUAAAGAAAUAGAAAUAUUGUGGUUUUAUAAAACUUAAAAGAAAUUGGAAUAUCAGGAGACUGCCUGCCCUUUGCAAUGUUGGAUAAUGAGUUCUUAGAUGUGAUGUGGAAAGCCUCAUGAAUAUAGUACCAUGACUUAAUCUAAUUAGAAAAAGAAAUGACAUUGAGGAGAAAACUAGUCACCAGUCUUUCACCAAGAACUAAAGAUAACUUUCCAAUAUUUGAAAUAUCAUAAUAUGUAUAAAACUUUAUUGAGCCACCAGUUUUUCACCAGGAAAAUAAGAUCACUUAACUAUUUUUAGGUCACCUGUCACAAAGUGACAGGGUGAGCUUUUUUGAUCGCUUUUUUCGUCUGGCGUCCACUUUAAAUGACAUUUCCUCAUAAACCACUAAGCCAAUUUCAUCCAAACUUCACAGGAAUGUUUCUUUGGUGGUCACCUCUAAAUAUUGUUCAUAGAACGCUGGUUGCCAU